rnacentral:lncRNA from 1 species
AUCCCUGGCCCAAGAAUGUCCAUAUGCUGCAGGUGCAGCCAACCAAAUAAAACCAAAAACAGUGAUAACCAACUUCUUUUAAAAAUUGACUUUAACCUACUUGAAAGCCUAAUCUGCCAACCCUCCACCAUGCCCUCCAUCAUCUCAGCACACAAGCUCUCUGAUUUCCUCACAGAACAAAGUUCAAAGCCUGGCAUGAGGUAGGUGCUCAAUAAAUUUUUUAUAUUGAAUGAAAAACCACAACAAAUCAGUGCCCUUUUAUUUUCUCAUCUCUGGAUCUCUACUCACAGUGUUUAUCCUUUGUAAUGCCUUUCUCUUCUUUUAUUUUCCUUUUGAAAUUGUAUUUAUCCCAACAACCUAAGUGUCAUUUCCCAUAUGGAGGCUUCCCAGGAUUUUCCAGCCAGCCUGGGUAAUUAAUUACUCCAUUUUCUGGGUUUAUAGGGUUAUUUGUAAUUUGCACCUCUAUUAGUAUGUUAUAUUAACAUAUUCUGACUGUUCUCUUAUGCACACACACACACACACAUACACGCAUAGUUAUUAUUGGCAUAUCUGCACCCUUGAGUAAAUACCUUAAACUUUUUUUUUGUUUGUUUCAGCAACUUAAAAAUCCCCCGAAUUUUAGAAGCAUAAACAAUUGAUAUAAAAAGUGAGUCUUUCUUAGAGUAUUAAUUAAUUGUUGAGAAAAAUUUAUGUCAAACUUUUAGUAGCCACCGGUGGUUCACAGAGGCUUUAAAAUAAAUAACCGAUGCUCUGCAAUUUUGUGUCCUCACAUCUGAUCUAUGCAUUCUAAUAAAGAGGGGACAUGUUGUACAUAAUAGGCAUAGUACACUGGUAUAUGUUUAACAACUGGUUGCUCUUCCCAAAUUUAAAAGCCCUAUUUGUAGUGUUUGCUGGUUUUUAUGCUGUAAUUAUCCCCACCAUGACAGAUUUCUAACUAGCAAUGUGAUGUUACUGGAGUUGAGAAGAGAUGGGCAGUGACACAUCAUUCUAUACAGAUACAACAGAUGUAAAUAACAUCAGGGACAUAAAUAAUAGUAAAAUUAAAGAUUUAAUGAUAGUUAUGAAUUCAUGAAAAUUUAGCCAUCAGCUCUCAGCCUUCCAAAAAAUUUAUUUGUAAGCCAGUUAAUAUUCUUGUUACAUAAUAGCCCUCAAGAAUGUAAUAAGAAUAUUGAUUAACCUACAAAUAAAUUUUAAAAAUUGAGUAUAGACCAGUUAUUAAGAAACAGAAUAUAUGAUAUUUGAUUUCAUCAGUGUUAUUCUUAAAAUCUCUGCUAUUUAAAAAUAUUAUAAGGAGUUCCUGCUGAGGUGUAGUGGGUGUAGGACCUGACAUCUUUGUGAGGAUAUGGGUCCUAUCUCUGGCCUCGCUCAGUGGCUUAAGAAUCUGGUGUUGGUGCAAGCUGUAGCAGAGGUCGCAGAUAGAGCUCAAAUCCAUAUACAAAGGCGGCAUAGCUGGAAAAAAUAUGUGUGUAAUAGUGAUAAUAUAUGGAAUUAUGGUGAUCAAGAACAAUAUUAUAGUUUUAGAAAAGUAGUAAACUUUAAGAAAGAUUUGAGUGAAUGUUUGUACUCCCAAUGGACACUAUUCUACAUACCAAAAUGAUGGUAUACUGUGUAUUUAAGUAUCUUAUACAGUUGUUCAUAGCCUUUGGUAGGAGGGCCUUUGCAAACAGUAAGUAGACGUAGACUCAGCAAUGUACAAAAUUGCUUCUCAUCAAGAUAAAUGCUAGGCAUUCUCCAAACUAUCAUUUGAUCUCAUAAUAGCAAACACAUCCAAAGAGCUGUUUGUUAAACCUAGUCUUUCCAUGUAUAUUUAGUUUUCCUGCAAUGCCACUCAACGUUAGAGGGAUUUUUUAAAUUUCAUACGCAUAUAUAAAACUUUGUUUCUGGACACAGCUCUGGCUAUCACCUGAUUCAGUGGCUAUUCUUCAAGUAGUGUUAUUUGCUGUUCUAUUGGAUAUUUAUGUAUAGUUAAUGUAUCAACUUGUCCAAAUGUAAGUGGUAAUUGCUAAGGCCUUUAUAUAAAGCAAAUUUGCUAUUUAUAUUUGCUAUAUAAAGCAAAAUUGCUGAUACUUUUUUCAAAAAAAUAAUUUUGUUGGCAUUGUAGGCCUGAAAGUUGUCAUUGGAUUGUCUAAAAUUUAUGGAAGUGGUGGAUAAAUUAAGGAGUGGGUCCAUGUCUUGAACUCCUUGAGAUCAAGUACCAGUGUUCCAGAACAGUCUACAGAAUAACAAUAUUAAUUCUCCUUUAUAUCCACGUAUUCAAUGUAUAACAAUGUAGGUUUUAUGUUAUUGUGAAUAUAAUGUAACAAUAUCUUGUAGAAACUUGGUUAGACAAUUCUGCAGAACAUGUUAAGUGAGUGGAUGAGAGAGGAAACCAGCUGCUUUAUGACAAGCUAAAGUGGGGUGAAAUGCUACAAGGACACACAAAAGCACAAUACCAGGCUAUACAGCAGGCUGUGGAAUAAUAAGAGGAAACACCAACAGGCAGAAGAGCAAAUAAUCAGCAAUCAGAGGCAUAAUGAUUAAAGAGAGUUCAUAGGCUCCAAAAUGAUGAGGCUAAGCUAUAAACACUGUCAGUUUUUUACAAAUGUGGCUGUAGUUGCAGCCUCAACAAGAGCUCUUUCAAACAAUUUUUGGCCAUAUUCACU